GGGCAUGUAGUUCAGUGGUAGAACGCUACGUUGACAUCGUAGAGGCCAUAAGUUCAAUUCUUAUCAUGCCCACCA
rnacentral:tRNA from 2 species